UGCGCAGGCGGUUUUGUAAGUCUGAUGUGAAAUCCCCGGGCUCAACCUGGGAAUUGCAUUGGAGACUGCAAGGCUAGAAUCUGGCAGAGGGGGGUAGAAUUCCACGUGUAGCAGUGAAAUGCGUAGAUAUGUGGAGGAACACCGAUGGCGGAGGCAGCCCCCUGGGUCAAGAUUGACGCUCAUGCACGAAAGCGUGGGGAGCAAACAGGAUUAGAUACCCUGGUAGUCCACGCCCUAAACGAUGUCUACUAGUUGUCGGGUCUUAAUUGACUUGGUAACGCAGCUAACGCGUGGAAGUAGACCGCCGUGGGGAGUACGGUCGCAAGAUUAAA
rnacentral:rRNA from 1 species